UAUACAUGCAGUCGAGCGGACUUGAUGANGAGCUUGCUCUCCUGAUGGUUAGCGGCGGACGGGUGAGUAACACGUAGGCAACCUGCCUGCAAGACCGGGAUAACCCACGGAAACGUGAGCUAAUACCGGAUAUCUCAUUUCCUCUCCUGAGGGNAUGAUGAAAGACGGAGCAAUCUGUCACUUGCGGAUGGGCCUGCGGCGCAUUAGCUAGUUGGUGAGGUAACGGCUCACCAAGGCGACGAUGCGUAGCCGACCUGAGAGGGUGAACGGCCACACUGGGACUGAGACACGACCCAGACUCCUACGGGAGGCAGCAGUAGGGAAUCUUCCGCAAUGGGCGAAAG
rnacentral:rRNA from 1 species